CCUACGGGACGCACCAGUGGGGAAUAUUGCGCAAUGGGCGCAAGCCUGAUGCAGCCAUGCCGCAUGUAUGAAGAAGGCCUUCGGGUUGUAAAGUACUUUCAGCGAGGAGGAAGGCAUUAAGGUUAAUAACCUUAGUGAUUGACGUUACUCGCAGAAGAAGCACCGGCUAACCCCGUGCCAGCAGCCGCGGUAAUACGGAGGGUGCAAGCGUUAAUCGGAAUUACUGGGCGUAAAGCGCACGCAGGCGGUUUGUUAAGUCGGAUGUGAAAUCCCCGGGCUCAACCUGGGAACUGCAUUCGAAACUGGCAAGCUUGAGUCUUGUAGAGGGGGGUAGAAUUUCAGGUGUAGCGGUGAAAUGCGUAGAGAUCUGGAGGAAUACCGGUGGCGAAGGCGGCCCCCUGGACAAAGACUGACGCUCAGGUGCGAAAGCGUGGGGAGCAAACAGGAUUAGAUACCCCGGUAGUC
rnacentral:rRNA from 1 species